GCGGUUUUAGCUCAGUUGGGAGAGCGUCAGACUGAAGAGAUUCAGUCACAGUUAAUCUGAAGGUCCUGUGUUCGAUCCACAGAAAUCGCA
rfam:Candida tanzawaensis NRRL Y-17324 unplaced genomic scaffold CANTAscaffold_6, whole genome shotgun sequence.